rnacentral:rRNA from 1 species
AUGGCUUCACCUUCGCGCAAGAAGCCGUCGUCAUCCUCGUCGGGACGGCGAGACCGCAUCAGCGACCUCCCCGACGACCUGCUGGGCCACGUCCUCUCCUUCCUGCCCACCAAGGAAGCCGGCCGUGCGGCCAUGCUUGGCCGCCGGUGGCGCGACAUCUUCUGCAGCGUCCACACCAUCUCGUCCGAGGAGCGUGAGGGCCAGAGGGCCGGCGACUGGGACACCUACUUCUACGAGGCACAGGAGAGGAGGAGCUGCAGCACUGCGCUCCUCCAGAGCAUCAGCGCCGCGCUCCUCCACCGCCGCCGGCGCCCCGGCCUCAUGGUGCCGCUGCGCAGCUUCCGCUUCGCCUUCGACAGCUACCAUGGGUGGGACAAGGGCGCCGUCGACCAGUGGCUCUUCGAGGUGCUGCGGCAGCGCACCCAAGACCAGGAGCUCCACCUUGACCUGCGCUUCUUCAUCGGCCCCAUCUGUGCACGCGGCAGUGUUAAUGGCGACGACGAAGAAAAAGAGUCGAACGACAAUAAGUCGUGGGGGCAUGUCCUUCCGAGAACGCUCUUCUCCUGUAGAGCCGUGCGGACGAUGUGCCUCAGCUAUUGCAAACUGAAUCUACCCGAGGUCGUCGACCUGCCAUUUCUCGAGACGCUGCGCCUGACCAGCAUACGAGGUGACUCCGAAGAAACCAUCCAAAAACUCAUCUGGAGCUGCCCCCGACUUGCUGACUUGACGCUGGAGGCCAACAACCGUCUGAAAAAACUCACCGUUCUCGACAAACGCCUCCGUAGGUUCGCCCUCCGGUGCUGCCACAACGUGACGCAAGUAAGCAUCGACGCGUCGACGCUAAGAUGCCUAGAAUACAGCGGCUCCGUACCAGAGGAGUCGCUCAUGUCCCUACGCGGCUCACCGGCAGUGUCCUCGUGCACCAUCCGCUUCUGCAAGGUGAGAUCCAAUGAGUCGGAGUUUGUCCGGUUCAGAAAACUCCUUGAGAUAGUCUCGGACUCAAAACACCUGCACCUGCACCACCGUGGCUUGGGCAGUGAAUUCUUCACGGUGUCCCCCUUGUUUGCCAACCUCACGCGGCUUGAGCUACAGGGUCCCAUCGAAAACAGUGACACCGUUGAUACGGUCAAGAGGAUACUGGAGCAGACGCCAAACCUCGAGGUUCUCUCGCUCUACAUGGAGGAGCGGCAGCAGGACGUGGAGAAGCGGAGACGAAGAGAGGAGAAGAUCAGGUACCGACAGCUCUAUGGAAGGGUUGUAGGUGAUGAUCAGGAGGAGUACGACCGGUCCGUGGAUCUUUGCAAUCUCAGAGUUCCCGACAGUUCGUGCUUUUCGUUGCCGUGCCUGCGUCGUCGAUUGAAGGAGAUCAAUAUGGUUAACUACCAGUGUGACGUGCAGCAUAGGGUGUUGGCCAGCCUGCUGUUUCGCAAUGCGCUUGUGCUCGAAAGGAUGUGUGUCGUGUUUGUCAAGGGGCUGUUCGCCGUGCAGGUUGAGCUGAGGAAGGAGAUCGAGAGCUGGGUAGUGCUUAGU